AUUGAACGCUGGCGGCAGGCCUAACACAUGCAAGUCGAACGGUAACAGGAAGCAGCUUGCUGCUUCGCUGACGAGUGGCGGACGGGUGAGUAAUGUCUGGGAAGCUGCCUGAUGGAGGGGGAUAACUACUGGAAACGGUAGCUAAUACCGCAUAAUGUCGCAAGACCAAAGAGGGGGACCUUCGGGCCUCUUGCCAUCGGAUGUGCCCAGAUGGGAUUAGCUUGUUGGUGGGGUAACGGCUCACCAAGGCGACGAUCCCUAGCUGGUCUGAGAGGAUGACCAGCCACACUGGAACUGAGACACGGUCCAGACUCCUACGGGAGGCAGCAGUGUGGAAUAUUGCACAAUGGGCGCAAGCCUGAUGCAGCCAUGCCGCGUGUAUGAAGAAGGCCUUCGGGUUGUAAAGUACUUUCAGCGGGGAGGAAGGGAGUAAAGUUAAUACCUUUGCUCAUUGACGUUACCCGCAGAAGAAGCACCGGCUAACUCCGUG
rnacentral:rRNA from 1 species